rnacentral:rRNA from 1 species
AUUGAACGCUGGCGGCAGGCCUAACACAUGCAAGUCGAACGAGUGGCGGACGGGUGAGUAAUGUCUGGGAAACUGCCCGAUGGAGGGGGAUAACUACUGGAAACGGUAGCUAAUACCGCAUACCAUCGGAUGUGCCCAGAUGGGAUUAGCUAGUAGUUGGGGUAACGGCUCACCUAGGCGACGAUCCCUAGCUGGUCGGAGAGGAUGGCCAGCCACACUGGAACUGGAGCACGGUCCAGACUCCUACGGUAGGCAGCAGUGGGGAAUAUUGCACAAUGGGCGCAAGCCUGAUGCAGCCAUGCCGCGUGUAUGAAGAAGGCCUUUGGGUUGUAAAGUACUUUCAGCGAGGAGGCGUUACUCGCAGAAGAAGCACCGGCUAACUCCGUGCCAGCAGCCGCGGUAAUAC